rnacentral:rRNA from 1 species
UACAUGGGGUGCAAACGUUGCUCGGAAUUAUUGGGCGUAAAGCGCGCGUAGGCGGUUACUCAAGUCGGAUGUGAAAGCCCUCGGCUUAACUGAGGAAGUGCACCCGAAACUGAGUAGCUAGAGUACUAAAGAGGGUCGCGGAAUUCCCGGUGUAGGGGUGAAAUGCGUAGAUAUCGGGAGGAACACCAGUGGCGAAGGCGACUUCCUGGCCUGUUCUUGACGCUGAGGCGCGAAAGCUAGGGUAGCAAACGGG